rnacentral:rRNA from 1 species
GACGAACGCUGGCGGCGUGCUUAACACAUGCAAGUCGAACGGAAAGGCCUGCUUUCCCUUGUGGAUUGCGGGUACUCGAGUGGCGAACGGGUGAGUAACACGUGAGUGAUCUGCCCCCAACUUGGGUAUAAGCCUGGGAAACUGGGUCUAAUUCCCGAUAGGACUGCAGGGUGGUGCCUGUGGUGGAAAACGAUUUUCUAGUGGUUGGGGAUGAGCUCGCGGCCUAUCAGCUUGUUGGUGGGGUAAUGGCCUACCAAGGCGGCGACGGGUAGCCGGCCUGAGAGGGUGGACGGGCACAUUGGGACUGAGAUACGGCCCAGACUCCUACGGGAGGCAGCAGUGGGGAAUAUUGCACAAUGGGCGGAAGCCUGAUGCAGCGACGCCGCGUGGGGGAUGACGGCCUUCGGGUGGUAAACUCCUUUCGACCGCGAGGAAGCCACCUGGUUGGAAGGGUGGUGACGGUAGUGGUAGAAGAAGCACCGGCUAACUACGUG